rnacentral:rRNA from 1 species
AUACGGAGGUGGCGAGCGUUGCUCGGAUUUACUGGGUGUAAAGGGCAAGUAGGCGGUCCUGAAAGUCCCGUCUGAAAGGUGUCAGCUCAACUGGCACACUGGGCGGGAUACUACAGGACUAGAGGUCGGAAGAGGCAAGCGGAAUUCCCGGUGUAAGGGUGAAAUCUGUAGAUAUCGGGAGGAACACCAGUGGCGAAGGCGGCUUGCUGGUCCGAUUCUGACGCUGAGGUGCGAAAGCUAGGGGAGCAAACAGGAUUAGAAACCCGUGUAGUCC